ACUCACCGAGGUUGACGACCUUGAGCGCCGUGAAGAAGCGGUUCUGCCGGGCCAGACAGGGUUUUGCCAUGUUGCCUAGGCUGGUCUAGAACUCCUAGGCUCAAAUGAUCUGCCCGCCUCGGCCUCCCAAAGUGCUGGGAUUACAGGCGUCUGUUUCUCCUCUCCAGCUCAACUCUGCUUCUCUUCUUACUAAGGAAAGAGAUCAAGGGGAUUCUUGUGAGCAAGGUUCUUCCUGGUACCUGAUUGGGCAACUGGAUGAAGAAGAGGGAAAGGAAAAAGCUGCCUGAGCCCCCCAAGACAUCAGGUGCCCUCCUUAUGGUGACUGCAGAGAUCCUGGGAAGAGUCAAAGGUUAUUCAAAUCCAGACUGGACCCAAAGGGGUUCACAGAGAGGCAGGAGACCGCUUGGAAAAGAGACAAGAUCUUGUUGCCCAGGCUGGUCUCAAACUCCUGCGUUCAAAUGAUACUCUCGCCUUGGCCUCCAAAAGUGUUGGGAUUGCAGACCUGAGCUACUAUGCCUGGCUGAAUUCUAUUUCUAUUGGAUUGGUUGUAAAGAAGUGCAUUGUAGCCUGCAAAGGAGCAGGGCCAGUGGGGUGGAGAGGGCAGAAGUGCUACAGAGGCCCCUGCUCUCCACUGCCCUGACUGCUACUGUGCUGGAUGCCGUGUGAACCACAGCUGCAUCUGGAGGCCUUGGGCAGGCUUUUCCAAUUUGGAGGCACAAAUAAGUGAGAACUUGGGGAUCCACUGAGGUCUGAGGCACGGUGGUACCAGAGGAGAUGAAGGGGCUUUCAGCAUGAAGCUGGUCCCCUGUCGACAGCACGCUGAUUUUCCCGUUGGGCUCUAUCAGCAUGUCCACUGUGAGACCAUGCUUGUGAAAAUACCAGGACGGUAAAUUAGUGAAUUCCAAAGUCAGGAUUUUUGUUGGAUCUGGCACAGUCACAGGAAAGUCUGAGUUUUCUCAAGGGCAUCCCUGUCUCACCGAGGGGCACCAAGGACAGACGACCAGAAGCAAAUGGCGCAGUCACCGUCAGAGGAGAGUAAAACUCAUUCUGAAACGGUUCCAAAUGCCCAUGCCUGCUCUGUGGUUUUCAGCAAAGCGGACCUUUCCAAAAGACCUCCAACAGGGACUUCCUGGAUGUGAGAACACUAACCAAUUCUCGUUCCUCUCAUCUUUUGCUUUAUUCCUUCCUUCCAUGCUGUUAUUGCGAAAAACUGGUAGUUAAAUUCAAUUGAUUCAAAAUAUUCGGGAUCCAUAUGGCCGCCAACCCUGGAGCUGAAGCGGCGAUAGCGCCUCACUGCUGUUUUCAAGCAUUUGCCUCUCCUCCAGUCCCCAGAUGGUGGGAGUAACAUUUAAACCUCCUUUUCUCUGCCUUGUACAAUAGACCUUGGCACCAUUUCAACUGUUUACUCCGGUAAUUAACAGCUCUGAUACCACAACAAUUACAACUCCUACACUCUCACCACAAUAAUGCUAUGAAUUAGUGAGAGCUAAUGGCUGGAAGGUAGAGUGUUUCCAGACUGUGGGAUCUGUGCAUUUUUAGAAUAAAAUAAAAGGUACAAACAGCACGCUUGCAGUAGACAAUGAUUACCUAGUAAUUAGUUUACACAAAGCUUCCUAUUUAAUGGCAAAACGCUGUAAUUAACGUGUGACAGAAAAUCAAAGGGUACUUUGUAAGCAUAUUAAAAAUUAACACUGCAGGCCCAUAGCUUUAUGUACUGAUUAGAAGCAUAUUAAAUCAAUAGGACACACAAACCAACAGCUUGGGUAGCUGAUUAUUAUAGGUCCUCAGAAGGGGUACCCUGGCUUUCAUUUCACUUGGGGAGGCAAUUUUCCUUCUCCUGUCAUCUUCCUCAGGCACAGAGAAACACCUCAAACUCAACCCUGGCAGCUUCAUGAAAAUAACCACUGAACUGGAAGAAAACAUUCUAAGUCAUUCUCAGAGAUGAAGACAAAUAUGUAAAUGAUUAAGACUUUCCAAUGAUUGUGGUGACGUGCUGCUACACUAAUUAGAAAAUACACCAACUGGAACCAGAAAAUAAAGCCACUGGGUUGCAAUCUUCCGGUCAGAAUAAUCUCUACUUUGUCAAGCCUCUUUAUUCAACUCAUAGAAAGUUCAAAUAAAUGGAACUGUUUUAUAUUUCUAAAUGAUAAGAAAGCAGGCUGCUAUGAAGACUUAUUCUUUCCAAGGCACUGUCUGGGUAAAGCAUAGGCUGGGAACAACUGGAUCAACCAACAUUCUGUAUCUUCAACAGCCACAACCCCAUAUAAUGAUGGCUGAUGGACAUAGACAGCAAUAUCCUGGAAGCCUACCAGAGCCUAAAGAACCUUCUGAAUCACCAAAGAAAGAUUAAGUUGUAUGUACUUGUUCAAUGUUACCUGUAUUUUGUUAUAAUACAAUUUUAUGGUAAUAAUAACAACAAUAAUAAUAGGUAGCAUUUCUUAAAGUCUUAUUAUGUGCUAAGCACACUGCUAGCCAAUUCAUAGAAUUAUCUCAUUUACUUGUCACCACUUCCCCAUGAGACAGGUACUAAUCUCUCUUUACAGAUAGAGAAAGGGAGACUUGGAGAGCUGAAGUAAUUUGCCUAUAGUUAUCCCCCAGGGAGCAUGGGAGUCUAACCUAGGUGUCCCUGGCUAUGGAACCCCAGGAAGCCAAACUACCUCUUAGUUACCCUGAAUGACUAGCCUGUUCCAACACUCAUUCUGCUUAAAAGGCAGUUUACUAUGUCAACCUGGAAUAGGAGACUAAAAAAAUUAAAACAAAAACAAAAUAUUUGGUUGCUUAUUUUUUUAAAAAACAGGGUGUUUCUGCUUUUAGAGAUAGGAGUCUUGUUCUGUCACCCAGGCUGGAGAGUGGUGGUGCAGUCAUGACUCAUUGCAGCCUCAAACUCCUGGGCUCGAGUGAUCCUCUUUCUUCAGGCUCCUAAGUAGCUGGAACUACAGGCACACACCUAAUUUUUAAAUUUUUUGUAGAGAUAGGGUCUCACUAUAUUGCCCAGGCUGGUCUUGAACUCCUGGCCUCAAGCCAACUCCCACCUCAGCCUUCCAAAGUGUUGGGAUUACAAAAUAUUACAGGAGUGAUCGACUGCACUGGGCUAAAAACAAGGGUUUUAAAUGCUUACCAUAUUUUUAAUGCUACAUCUGAUUGUGAAGGUGGGCUACUCAAAGCUUUUUGGGAAUUUACAGGCUCACUAAAAUGAUCACGAUAGUGUAUUAAAUUGAGAAAGGCAUUGAAAAUCUGUCAUUCCCAUGAACAACCAAAGGGUGAUGUCUAAAAUUCUCUCUCAUCACCCAUGCACAUAACCAGGUAUAUGAGGCAGUUGGGUUGCAAGAGCUGAAUCCUAGAAACUCCUAGGCAGGGCUCCUCCUCUCCAGCUCUGAGGUGUGUGUAUUGAUGGCCCCCUACACCUCCCAGUUUGCUGCCUUGUGGGAAAAGGAGACCAGCUCUUCUGUUAUCUAGGAAAGGGAAGAAAUUUGAGAGCAGUGGCCUCUGUGUUCCAGGAAUAUUUGCGUUUCCCACAAAUCUCUGGAAAGCAGAAAGCUUGCCACAAGGGCAGCACACGGUAUGAGUCACAAAGGCAAGGACCUGAGGGAGAACACUUCCCAGGACUUUCAAAUAAGGUCUUUCCUAAAUGUACUUGGCUCAGUGUGGCAAAAGCACUGGGCUAGCAGCAGUCAGAUGUGGGUUCAAAGCAAGGCACAAUCAUUUAUUAGCUAUAAAUUUGGGCAAGUCACUUCUUGAGAAUAAGUUUCUUCAUCUGUAAACAGAAGUAAUACCUUCCUUAUAUCUUAAAUUGGUGUGGAAGUAAAUGAGUAAAAACCUCAGGGUUUUUCUGAGUUUAAAUGAGACAAUUCAUGUAACGUGCUUAGCACAAUACCUGGUACCCAGUAGGUACUCUGCAGUAUUUAUUGAUGAUGAUGAUGAUGAUGAUGAUGAUGAUGAUGAUGACAAAGAAAUACAAGGAAAUGUCAACACCUUAACAGUGCAUUCAUAGAUCUACAAAAUGCUUAAUCUCAGUGUUCUGGCAACCACUAAAUACAUAAAGAUAAUCUAAGACAUCAAGAUUUCAACAUAUAAAAAUAAAUAUAAAAACAAGUGAACAAUAAUCAUUUAUAUGUAGUUUCAUGACUGGAAAAAAUAAUAACCUAGAUUUUUUCUUAACCUAGAAAAUCUAGAUUAAAAAAUAAAGAUCUUGCAUUUUUGAUAUAAAACACAAAUAAUAAGGACAUGAAAAAAGAAUAUCCCUUGCUAGUAAUCAAAUAAUAGCAAUGAGAAGCUGGAUUCUUAUAUCUAAAAUAAAAGUGCAAAUAGUUCAUAAUAUCCAUUGGUGGUAAGGUUGUGGUAAAACUAGUAUUCUUAUUCUCUGCCAGUUGCUUUGGAAAUUGGUACUAUCUUUUUAGGAAUAUGGCAAUAUGUAACAAAAGCCAUAAAAUAUUCUACUCCUGGGUCUUUCUCCUCGGGAAGUAACUCAACAGAAGCAAAAAGAGGUGUAUACAAAAACCAAAUAUAAAAACAAACAAAUCUUUCCUCCCUCUUUCCUCCCACUGCCAAAAAAUGAAAGCUGGGAAUAGCCUAAAUUUCCAACUUAGUUGAAUUGUUCAAUAUAUUAGAGUUCAUCAAUAUGAGAGAAUAUUAUGCAUCUAAUAAUUGUGACGACUAUGUAUAAACAUGGAAAAUAUUUAAGAUCUGAUGUUUAACUAGCAUAUACACUAUUAUUGUAGCUAUGAGAAAGAAAUACUGCAUAUUUAGAAAUUAAUAUACAAAAAUGAAAACAACUAUGUUUGGGGACAGUGAUUAUGUACUUUUAAAUUUUUUUUAAUCUUGUUAUCUUUAAACUUUUCUAAAAAUGAUGUGAUUACAAGCAAUGGCUCUUUGGGAUCACCUAAUAAAUACCUACUAAAUUCUAGACGGGACAACGAGCUCUGCCAUCCUGCAAUGGCUCCUGUGACCUAGUUCCAGGGCCAUUCUGAAUGGACAGAGGUCUUCACAAUGGAGGUGGAGAUGCAGGGAGCUCUAUGGCAUGAAAUGGUUAAUGAUUCUCUUUUGUAAUUGUGUUUUCUGUUUGCUGCCUUAGUUCUAAAAGGAGGCAAAACAACUGUGGUUUAUUCUACCUUUUCCAGGCAUAGUUCUUCUCCUACCUUUGUGAUCCCCAAAUUAAUAUCAAAUGUCUAAUUAGUUUUUUUCUCCAUUGGUGAUCCCCAAAUUAAUAUCAAAUGUCAGACAAAGUAAAUCAAAGUACAAAUAAAGGUAAAACUGCUCUUGCAAAGGGCUAAAAUAGCAAUGUUUACUAGAAGCAUUCAAGAGCCAGUUCAAUUUCCUAUUUCUCAUUAAGUGGUAAAAUAGUAAUGCCAAGACCACAUCCCAGAAUCUCCAGGGUAACAGAGGCCCAACGAAGGGCUGCAGAGAAACUUGAAAGUAAACUGGCUUAGUUCUUUACACACAGAAAUUGUUCUACAAAGAUCUCUUGCAAAGCAGUGUCACCAGUAGCAUCACUGCCACUAAGCCAAUGUCCCAGGAAUUGAGGAAAGGAAGACACCCUUAAAGAAAAAAAUGGAAAAAAGCCACAAGGACUGGUACCACAGUAAAUGUCUGCCUGGGUCUCCCUAAACUGUCUUAGGUGAGCUUACCCAGGAAUGUUUCUCCCCUACAUGUUUGCCUUCCUUUGUUUAAGCCUUUAUUCCUCCUAAAUGAAAAUAAAUACCCCCGACUGGGGAACGUGG
rnacentral:lncRNA from 10 species